rnacentral:rRNA from 1 species
GGAGGAAAGUAGGGGAUCGAAAGACCUUAUGCUUUUGGAGCGGCCGAUGUCUGAUUAGCUAGUUGGUAGGGUAAUGGCUUACCAAGGCGACGAUCAGUAGUUGGUCUGAGAGGACGACCAGCCACACUGGGACUGAGACACGGCCCAGACUCCUACGGGAGGCAGCAGUGGGGAAUUUUGGACAAUGGGCGCAAGCCUGAUCCAGCAAUGCCGCGUGAGUGAAGAAGGCCUUCGGGUUGUAAAGCUCUUUCAGUUGAAAAGAAAAAGCCGUGACUAAUAAUCAUGGUUCAUGACGGUAUCAACAGAAGAAGCACCGGCUAACUACGUGCCAGCAGCCGCGGUAAUACGUAGGGUGCGAGCGUUAAUCGGAAUUACUGGGCGUAAAGGGUGCGCAGGCGGUUCUGUAAGUCAGAUGUGAAAUCCCCGGGCUUAACCUGGGAACUGCGUUUGAAACUACAAGGCUAGA